rnacentral:rRNA from 1 species
GAUGAACGCUGGCGGCGUGCCUAAUACAUGCAAGUCGAGCGAACAGACGAGGAGCUUGCUCCUCUGACGUUAGCGGCGGACGGGUGAGUAACACGUGGAUAACCUACCUAUAAGACUGGGAUAACUUCGGGAAACCGGAGCUAAUGCCGGAUAAUAUAUUGAACCGCAUGGUUCAAUAGUGAAAGACGGUUUUGCUGUCACUUAUGGAUGGAUCCGCGCCGCAUUAGCUAGUUGGUAAGGUAACGGCUUACCAAGGCAACGAUGCGUAGCCGACCUGAGAGGGUGAUCGGCCACACUGGAACUGAGACACGGUCCAGACUCCUACGGGAGGCAGCAGUAGGGAAUCUUCCGCAAUGGGCGAAAGCCUGACGGAGCAACGCCGCGUGAGUGAUGAAGGUCUUCGGAUCGUAAAACUCUGUUAUUAGGGAAGAACAAAUGUGUAAGUAACUAUGCACGUCUUGACGGUACCUAAUCAGAAAGCCACGGCUAACUACGUG